rnacentral:lncRNA from 11 species
GAUGACUCCUCUCUCUUCUUGGUUUAGUUUUUCCAAGUGAGGCCUUGAACUUCCUCUGCACACCAACCCUGCAAGAUCUCCAUUACCAGAUGAACUGCAAGCAAGAGUAGUAAAGAAAUGUGCAGACGUAAUUUCAGAUCUACUGUCAAUAAUCUGAACAAAUUCUUGGAAACUAGGACAAAAAUGUUGUUCCCAUCAUCAAAAGGAGAAGGGGAAAAGUCAUCUUGAUGUCAAUAGAAAGAAAGUUUCCAAAAGAAACAGUCAGUUUAAAGACUCUUGGGGUGAACUGCAGUGAUUACUAAACUCUGGCAUGAGUUUACCAGAAACAAGUCAUGCCACAUUACUCUGGUUUCUUUUUUGAUAGAGCUACAAGAUUGGUAAAUUAGGAGAAAAUGUUGCUGUUGUCAUAUAACCUAAUUUCAGUAAGGAUUUAAUGACCUCCCUGUCCUCAGCCCAAUGACAUUCUUGCAGACAAGCUCGGGAAAGACUAAUGCAGAGGUGGUCCAACCAUAAGAUGAACUAGGCACUUGCCUGUGGCGCCAUCGACCCGGGGGCACCAUCGUCCUGGGAGGAUGGCACCACCCCUGCCUCCUUCUUCUUCAGGCCUUCAGGCGGCCUCCCGGCAGCUGUGCUGGGCCUCCUGGCGACUGCGCUGGGCCUUCCAGCCGGCACGGACUCACCUUCGUCCCACGCAGGCCCACCUUUGGGGCCUUCAGAGAUUGUGAGAUCUGUGGGAACUUGGAAGCUAGGAGAGAAGAAUUUGGAGUGUGAUGGAAGAUCCUUCCUUGGAGUCUAUCAAAAAGAAGCUGGAUGGCCAUCUGUCAGAGAGUUACACUAACAGUCAUCUUCUAACUCAAUUCCAUUUUGAUCUGCGGAGCCUUUCCUCCUUUUCUGCAGAAAUAUAUUGGAAGCUUCUGAAAUAUAUGGAUUUCUGAGGCAAGGUAUCACUCAUAGCUAAGUGUUUCAGCUUAUGUGAGUAGAGACAGUCACCCGAUAUGUCUUUUAAGCCACAUUCAGAUAAAGUCUUACUGUCCUUUCGGGAGAAAAAAAAUGAUACAUGCUGUGGCAGAUUGCAUCCAUCUAAGAAGAAUAUUAAAAACGUGAGUUUUGAUUUUUCCUACAUUUGAGUUAUGUAAAACCUUGUGCUCUUUUUGUCCAAGU